rnacentral:rRNA from 1 species
CACUCCACUAUAUUGUUCGCCAGAAUACUACAAGCGCUAGCUUAAAACCCAAAGGACUUGGCGGUAUCCCACACCCACCUAGAGGAGCCUGUUCUAUAACCGAUAAUCCCCGUUCAACCUCACCACUCCUUGCCAUUACCGUCUAUAUACCGCCGUCGUCAGCUCACCCUGUGAAGGACUAAAAGUAAGCAAAAAGAAUUAAACUCCAAAACGUCAGGUCGAGGUGUAGCAAAUGAAGUGGGAAGAAAUGGGCUACAUUUUUUUUCAAAAAUAAACGAAUGGUAAACUGAAAAAACACCUAAAGGUGGAUUUAGCAGUAAGAGGAGGUCAGAGUACUCCCCUGAAAUUGGCUCUGGGAUAAGCACACACCGCCCGUCACUCUCCUCAAAAUAAUCUACUUUUUCCAUAAAUACAUUUCCUCAACAAGAGGAGGCAAGUCGUAACAUGGUAAGUGUACUGGAAAGUGCACUUGGAAUC